AUUGAACGCUGGCGGCAGGCCUAACACAUGCAAGUCGAGCGGAGCGGCGGACGGGUGAGUAAUGCCUAGGAAUCUGCCUGGUAGUGGGGGAUAACGUCCGGAAACGGGCGCUAAUACCGCAUAAUAUCAGAUGAGCCUAGGUAGGAUUAGCUAGUUGGGGGGGUAAAGGCCUACCAAGGCGACGAUCCGUAACUGGUAUGAGAUGCGGAUCAGUAACCCUGAAACUGAGACACGGUCCAUACUCCUAGGGUAGGCAGCAGUGGGGAAUAGUGGACAAUGGGCGAAAUCUGGAUCCAGCCAUGCCGCGUGUGUGAAGAAGGUCUUCGGAUUGUAAAGCACUUUAAGUUGGGAGGCGUUACCAACAGAAUAAGCACCGGCUAACUUCGUGCCAGCCGCCGCGGUAAUAC
rnacentral:rRNA from 1 species